UACGGAGGGUGCAAGCGUUAUCCGGAUUCACUGGGUUUAAAGGGUGCGUAGGUGGGCAGGUAAGUCAGUGGUGAAAUCUCCGGGCUUAACCCGGAAACUGCCAUUGAUACUAUCUGUCUUGAAUACCGUGGAGGUGAGCGGAAUAUGUCAUGUAGCGGUGAAAUGCUUAGAUAUGACAUAGAACACCAAUUGCGAAGGCAGCUCACUACACGAAUAUUGACGCUGAGGCACGAAAGCGUGGGGAUCAAACAG
rnacentral:rRNA from 1 species